rnacentral:rRNA from 1 species
AUUGAACGCUGGCGGCAUGCCUUACACAUGCAAGUCGAACGGUAACAGGUUAAGCUGACGAGUGGCGAACGGGUGAGUAAUAUAUCGGAACGUGCCCAGUCGUGGGGGAUAACGUAGCGAAAGCUACGCUAAUACCGCAUACGAUCUACGGAUGAAAGCGGGGGAUCGCAAGACCUCGCGCGAUUGGAGCGGCCGAGAUCAGAUUAGGUUGUUGGUGAGGUAAAAGCUCACCAAGCCUGCGAUCUGUAGCUGGUCUGAGAGGACGACCAGCGACACUGGAACUGAGACACGGUCCAGACGCCUACGGGAGGCAGCAGUGGGGAAUUUUGGACAAUGGACGCAAGUCUGAUCCAGCAAUGCCGCGUGCAGGACGAAGGCCUUCGGGUUGUAAACUGCUUUUGUACGGAACGAAACGGGGAGCUCUAAUACAGUUUGCUAAUGACGGUACCGUAAGAAUAAGCACCGGCUAACUACGUGCCAGCAGCCGCGGUAA